rnacentral:rRNA from 1 species
GGCCUGGCUGAGUGGUCUUGCCGCAAGGUAAGUACUGCUCUGGUCGGGUCUUUCCUUCUGGGGAACCAGCGUGCUCUUAAUUGAGUGCGCUGGGGAUCCAGGACUUUUACUUUGAAAAAAUUAGAGUGUUCAAAGCAGGCUUCACGCUUGAAUACAUUAGCAUGGAAUAAUGAAAUAGGA